AGGAAGGGCAAGGAGUAGUAAAUUUUCCAGUACUCUGGUAGAUGUACCUGUGGUUAUACAGUGGUGUACAGGGGCCUGAGUAAAUAUAUGUAUUGCAGUGAAAGAUCUCUGUAUUGUAUUAGUGACCCUGCCCCAAUUCUAGUUAUUGUAAAUUGGCUGCAGCUGUGAUGUCCUUAAUUGGGCAGCAGCUGUAGCCCAUGGAGGUAGCUGGGAUAAAAGAGGGUGGGUUGGGCAGCCAGGGAGAGCCUUGGAGGAUCCCUGAUGAAGCAGGAAUAACACUACUGUGAAGAGUUGCAUAUGAGAAAACCACCCAGAAGAGAAAAUAUGGAGACUGACAAAGACAGUGAAGAAAAGCUGUACUGAGCCCUGAUCCUGAGCAGGAAAAAGCAUGCAACAUAUUUCUGAAACAAAGUGGUUCUGCUGGAUUAAGACAUAUUGCUAGAAAAUAAGAGCUUUCUCCAAGUCCGACCAGGAUGUAGCUGGCAUUUACUGAUCAUCAGAACAGAUUGCAGUGGAUUCUGGUUUGUUGUCACGGUGCUAGCCAGAGAGGAAGAGCUAUGGUGCAUAGACCUUACCCACAUUCCCACAAAUGUGAACCAUGCCCCAUAUGUGCAAGGAUUAUCAAAAAUAUCAUAGCCUUGGCAAUGGACUCACAUAACUUCAAUCAGUUCAACUGAUUAAGGAAGAGAAGGCCAACCAGGUUUUAAUAGUUUAAAAAAUCCCCUGUAAAUCUUUAAACUUGAAUUCUGAUAAAGAUUUAGAGUUUGCCAGACUCAUUAAAGGCUGAAACAUGCGCCAUUCCUUUUAUAAUCUACAAGGACCUGAAAAUAUGUUUGUAAAUGUCCAGAUAAAUGAAAUGUAGUUUUUGUAAUGAAAAUAAAUAAACAAGGAAAAGCAGG